AAUGUAAUGGAUACAAUGUUAAUGCACCAUAUCCCAUUAGAGAUCCACAAUUAAGUGAACUUGGGCUAGAUACUAGGAUGGGUGACCUCCUAGGAAGUCCUAGUGUUUUACAUGC
rnacentral:rRNA from 1 species